rnacentral:snRNA from 1 species
AUCGCUUCUCGGCCUUUUGGCUAAGACCAAGUGUAGUAUCUUAUCUUAUCUAUAUGGAUUUAUGCAUGCAUAAGUGUAGUCACGAUUCUGUAUACUCAUCUUAAUAGUUGCUAUUCUAGAAAAUAGCAUACUACUU